rnacentral:rRNA from 1 species
UACGAAGGGGGCUAGCGUUGCUCGGAAUCACUGGGCGUAAAGCGCACGUAGGCGGCUUUCUAAGUCAGGGGUGAAAUCCUGGAGCUCAACUCCAGAACUGCCUUUGAUACUGGAGAGCUUGAGUCCGGGAGAGGUGAGUGGAAUUCCGAGUGUAGAGGUGAAAUUCGUAGAUAUCAAGCGGAACACCGGUGGCGAAGGCGGCCUUCUGGACAGUGACUGACGCUGAGACGCGAAAGCGUGGGGAGCAAACAGG